ACUUUCAACAGAAAGUCGGGAUUAGCCUCCUGAAUGUUACGAGCGGUUAGAAAUAGAUAGACGCUCAAGCGUCUUUUUU
rnacentral:sRNA from 1 species